rnacentral:rRNA from 1 species
UACGGAGGGUGCAAGCGUUAAUCGGAAUUACUGGGCGUAAAGCGCACGCAGGUGGCUGAGUCAGUCGAUUGUGAAAGCCCUGGGCUUAACCUGGGAAUUGCAGUCGAUACUACUUAGCUAGAGUAUGGGAGAGGGCGGUGGAAUUCCCGGUGUAGCGGUGAAAUGCGUAGAUAUCGGGAAGAACACCCGUGGCGAAGGCGGUUCUCUGGGCCAUUACUGACGCUGAGGAGCGAAAGCGUGGGGAGCGAACAGG